rnacentral:rRNA from 1 species
AUUGAACGCUGGCGGCAGGCCUAACACAUGCAAGUCGAACGAGUGGCGGACGGGUGAGUAAUGUCUGGGAAACUGCCUGAUGGAGGGGGAUAACUACUGGAAACGGUAGCUAAUACCGCAUACCAUCAGAUGUGCCCAGAUGGGAUUAGCUAGUGGGUGGGGUAACGGCUCACCAAGGCGACGAUCCCUAGCUGGUCUGAGCGGAUGACCAGCCACACUGGAACUGAGACACGGUCCAGACUCCAACGGGAGGCAGCAGUGGGGAAUAAGGCAAAAUAGGCGAAAGCCUGAUGCAGCCAUGCCGCGGGUAUGAAGAAGGCCUUCGGGUUGUAAAGUACGUUCAGCGGGGAGGCGUUACCCGCAGAAGAAGCACCGGCUAACUCCGUGCCAGCAGCCGCGGUAAUUC